rnacentral:lncRNA from 1 species
UCUCAGUAGGUUAGCAGUGAUGGUCUCAGUAGGUUAUCAGUGAUGGUCUCAGUAGCUUAGCAGUGAUGGGCUCAGUAGGUUAUCAGUGAUGGUCUCUCUCUCACACUCACCAGGCCGUCACAAGUGCUUAUAGCCGCCCUCCCCUUCAUAGUCGCCCGGUCCCACACGUCCCCGAUAAAGUGACACAGCGAGGGGCCAUGGCUGCGUAUUUUGGCCCCCUCCAGGCCACCGUACCUCCUCUCAGUCAGGAAGCCAGGAGCCAGUAGGUGUGGGUUGAGGGUGAGGUUGAAGUGCAGAUUGUGGCCACCGUGCUGCAACUGGUAGAACACCCGUGUAGGGUUUCCUGGUUCCCCCUGGGUUUCCCGCCGCUGUACCCGGCUGACGCGGUGGGACACAAAGUUGGACAGGAAGUGACCUUUGGCGUCCACUCGGUAGGGGUGAACGACCUCGUACUGCGGAAGCCCCUGUAGAAAGCUCUC